UGUGAUUUGAUGACUAGCCUUAUUAAAUCGCUGAUCUCAUUGUGAUACAAACGGAAUUUUCCAUAUACCUUCUACUCAAACAGUGGGUUUUUCAAAAGGAAAGUGAUUGUGUGCUAACUGAAGGGAUGGAAAUUGAUAAACUUGCUGAUGACUAUUUUAAAAACUCCUGUUUUCCAUGUUCUCCCUGUGGAGUGGCAACCCAGAAGCAUUACUGGCUAUAGUCAGUAAGUGGGUGGGCAACCACAUAGAUCAUCCAGCAAAUGGAAGGAGGGUGUGCGAUAUUGGUCCUCUUUAAACUCUUCUCCCAUAAAGUGUUCUAAAGUAGGGCUACCAAAAAAAAAGCAGAACCAUCAACUCUGCAGAGCAUCAAAAAUGUGACAACAUGUCUUCUGAUGUGCUUUGACCUUUCUAGUAAAUUUGUUUAUGUUUCUCAAUUUCUUACCC